rnacentral:rRNA from 1 species
UACAGAGGUCCCAAGCGUUGUUCGGAUUCACUGGGCGUAAAGGGUGCGUAGGUGGCGCGCUAAGUCGGGUGUGAAAUUUCGAGGCUUAACCUCGAAACUGCAUUCGAUACUGGCGUGCUUGAGGACUGGAGAGGAGACUGGAAUUCAUGGUGUAGCAGUGAAAUGCGUAGAGAUCAUGAGGAAGACCAGUGGCGAAGGCGGGUCUCUGGACAGUUCCUGACACUGAGGCACGAAGGCCAGGGGAGCAAACGGG